rnacentral:tRNA from 1 species
GCUGGAAUAGCUCAGUGGUAGAGCACAACCUUGCCAAGGUUGGGGUCGCGGGUUCAACCCCCGUUUCCCGCU